CGCCGAUGGAGCCGCUAACUUCACGACACGACGGUCCAACUCCAAGUCUCCAACCAACCCAACAGCAAAUGGGAAAGUGGCAACUGGUCUGGCAACCACCUACCUAUUUAUUUAAAUUCUGAUAUUAGAUGCAUGGGAGGAAGAAUUUUGAUUUGCUUCUAGGAGGAUAAUUAAUUUGUCUUGUACAACCGUGGCCUAGAGUGGAUAAUACCAUUAAUCAAUUACCUAAAUACUUUUGCCAUGGAUUUUAGUGACGAACAAACAAAACAGCGGGCGCUACGUGUGUUGGCAGUGGUAAUUGUGAUUAUAAUUAUUACGCUUAUAAUCUCAUUCAUAUUUGGUAGUUUGAUACCAUCUCUCAUUGGAACAAUAUUGGUAGUCUGCGCCAUUGCAUAUGUGGCUCAUAGAAUUUAUGUCAACAAAAGACAAUCGAUGAGUCCAGAUGUGGAGGCUGGAAGAACAUAAUCACCAUAUUGACUUGAUAUGUUACUUGCCUGAGACUGGGAUGGAUAUAAUAGUACAACUAACUUAUUGCUUUCAAUUAUUAAUUAUUAGCCUAAGCUUUAUGACCAUAAUGUGAUUCAGAGGCCUAGUGAUUUUUCUAUUUUACUAUUUAAAUAAAAGCAAAUAGAAAUAUUUAAUAAAUUUAUAUUCCAAAGAUGUUUAUAUUUUGAUAACUAUUUAUUUACUCUGUCAUAUGAAAUAUAGUAGAACCCCUGUUAACCAAAUUCAGGGUAACCGAAAUGCUUUCAUAAAAAAUUAAUACAGGGCUGUAAAAUGCUUAAGUAA